rnacentral:lncRNA from 1 species
GAAUCUUGCUGGAGAUCCUGGCUUACCUGUGGCCUUCCCAAGGUAAUCUGCUUUUGUUCCUUUGUUUCUGCAUUCAAGGCUGCUGCAUUUGGGUUGGCCUCAUUUGAUACAGGCGUAGACUAUGCCGCCCUGCUGUUAUCACUGGACUUGCCAUCACAUCAUAGUAUUACAGUAUAUAAGCUAAUGUCCUAUAGAAAUAGGUAUGGGUUUCUUUUUGACUUAAGACAGAAUGAAUUGUAAACAACAUCUCGAAUAAUUCUGAGAAGUUCAAAAGGAAAGGCGUAAACAUGUGAUGGCAGAAUAACAUACAUUUAUUGGUUUUAUAAUUUUUUUUAAUGCUAAGAGGCUAUGUUAAGGGGCCGUUGUUCCCCACUGCCGCCGUUCCCCGCCGUUUCCCCGCCGCUCGUUGCCGUUCCCCGUCGUUCCCCGCCGCUCGCCGCCAUCCCUCGUCGUCCCCGCUGUCAUUCCCCGCCGCUCGCCGCCAUCCCUGCUCGUCCCCGCUGUCAUUCCCCGCCGCUCGCCGCCAUCCCUGCUUGUCCCCCGUCGUUCCCCGCUCGCCGCCGCACCCCGUCGUCCCCCGCUGCUUGCCGUCGUCCUCCGCCGUCCCCCGUCGUUCUCCACCUUCCCUUGCCAUCCCCCGUCGUUCCCCGUUGUCCCUCGUCGUUCCCUGUUGCUUGCCGCAAUCCGCCGUCGUUCCCCGUCGUCCCCCGCCGCUCGCUGUCGUCCCCUGCCGUCCCCCGCCGUCCCCCGCCGCUCGCCGCCAUCCCCCGUCGUCCGCCGUCGUUCCCCGCCGCCGUUCCCCGUUGUCCCCCGUUGUUCCCUGCCGCUUGC